rnacentral:lncRNA from 10 species
CCAAUACAUCAACAGACCCAUAGAAGCAUCAGGAGUUGGGAAUUAAAGUAUUUUUAUAAGCAAAACCUAAGGGUAACUGUGAUGGUUAAUACUGAGUGUCAACUUCUUGACUGGAUUGAAGGAUGUGAAGUGUCCCUCGGUGUGUCUGUGAGGGUGUUGCCAAAGGAGAUUAUUAACAUUUGAGUCAGUGGACUGGGAGAGGCUGACUCACUCUCAGUCUGGAUGGGCACCAUCUAACCAGCUGCCAGCAUAAAAGCAGGAAUAGAAAGCACCAACUUGCUAAGUCUUCUGGCCUCCAUCUUUCUCCCGUGCUGGAUACUUCCUGCUCGCGAACACUGGACUCAAAGUUCAUCAGCUUUUGGACUCUUGGACCUACACCAGUGGUUUGCCAGGGGCUCUCAGGCCUUUGGUCACAGACUGAAGGCUGCACUCUCAGUUCCCUACUUUUGAGGUUUGGGGACUCGGACUGGCUUCCCUGCUCUUCAGUUUGCAGAUGGCCUAUUGUAGGACUUCACCUUGUGAUCGUAUAUUUGAAAAAAUCUAUAGGAAAAAUGUUGAAGGACCAAGAGAAGUGAGAAGAUAGAGAAAUGUCUUGGAGACAGAAAUGAUCUAAUAUACUAUGGCAUGGGAUGAUGGGGGACCAUGAGGGAACUAGAAGUAUCAGAGCAGCAGCCAGAUCUCUGGCUUACCCAACUCAUCACACGGUGGUUGUACUAACCAGCUCGAAGACCUGUGAAGUCUCCAGAACUGAAAGAAAGACUUGGCAGGAUGGAUUUCUAAUGGGGGCUCUCUUUCUGCCUGGCAGGUGGCUGCCUUCCCACUACAUCCUCAAAUGAUAGAAAGAGAAAGAACUCUGGUCUCUCUUCCCCCUACCUUUUUUUUUUCUUUUUUUAAGAUGGAGUUUCACUCUGUUGCCAGGCUGCAGUGCAGUGGUGUAAUCUCAGCUCACUGCAACCUCUGCCUCCCGGGUUCAAGCGAUUCUCCUGCCUCAGCCUCCCGAGUAGCUGGAACUACAGGCACACGCCACCACACCCAGCUAAUUUUUUGUAUUUUUAGUAGAGACGGGGUUUCACUGUGUUAGCCAGGAUGGUCUUGACUGCCUGACCUUGUGAUCCUUCUGCCUCGGCCUCCCAAAGUGCUGGGAUUACAGGUGUGAGCCACCGUGCCCGGCCUCUCUUCCUCUUUUUAUAAGAACACCAGUCCAAUAGGAUUAGGAUCUCAUCUUUAUGACCUCAUUUCAUCUUACUUACCUCCUAAAGAUCCUGUCUCCACAAGCGUCACAUUAGGGGUUAGGAUUUCAACAUUUACAUUUCGAGGGAACAUAACUUAGUCCACAGCAAGGAUGUCAUUUACUGAGAUGGAAAAGACGGGGAAAGAACACUGGAAAAAGAUAAGUCUACCCUCGUCACAAAGUGAGGAUAUUAGAUUUUCAAAUCAACAAAGCUGACCAAAGAUGACAAAGCUGAAGUACAGAGAAGUUGAGUCACUUGUCCAAGGCCAUAUGCUGGCAAAUGGUGGAAUGGGGCCCUGUCUGAUGUCAGAAUCUACACUUUGUUUCAUUCCAUUCCCCCACAGUGGAAAAUCUCUGACUUUGGAGUCAUAGAGGUCUGCGUUGGAAUCUUGGUUUUGCCAUUUACUUGUUGAGAGGAUUUGGGUAAGUGAUAACUUCUCUGAACUUCAGUAUCUUCAUCUUUAAAAUGAAGACUAUAAUAUCAUCCUCUCAAGGCUUUCAUGACAAUAAGGUUGUGUACGGACAGUGAUUGCCACAGAGCAAGCACUUCAAGGGGGCAGCAGCUAUUGUUAAUAUUACCAUUUUGUUAUGUACUUUUAUUCACCCUAUGCUCCCUUCCCUGGAGGCCCUCAGGAAUGUUACUUCUCUGACAUCCCUGACAAUUUUUACCCCCUUGUUCACAAGUAUCCUCCUCACAACAGACCAACAGACUGGAGUGCCCUUUGGGUAGGGAUGGGCCCAGAAUGGGUAGGGCUGGAUGUUGUGACUCAUUGCUUCCUUCCCUCAUUCCUGACCACCUAUAACUGCCAAAUGGGAUAAGAUGACCAGUAUCUCAGCCACAGUAUCUCAGGACAGGCCUGGCUUCACACACUGAUCCCACUGUUAGACCUUUCCCAUUUGUGGGGCUCAUAAAAUGUUCUGCAUAUUUACAAUAACCUGAGUUUCUACUCCUGCUGUUGCAAAGCAGUUCAGUGGAUGUCCUGCCCUGUGCAAAUCUUCCAGUUGCCGCUGACCAUUAUUCCAGGUCAUUAUUCCAGGUAGAGUUUCUCAGCUAUCAGGCCCCGUAAAGAGCCCUGGGCAAUAGACAUCUCAGGUCAGCUUGCACCAGUUUUAUGGCAUUGAGGUAAACAUGUCCCAUUUCUGGACCUGAGCGUCCUCAUCAGAGGCUAGGUUAGACGGAGCUCUAAGAGCCACAUCAACCCUGGGGCUGAGCAUCUGUUGAGGCCCCAGCUCACGUAGGCUCCCAUGUUGAUUUUCGAGUGAAACGUGGAAAGCGUGUGGUUCAGUUGCACAGUGGAGGUUGGUUGCACCUCCCAACCCCCAUCCUUAAAGUGUGCCUACUUCUCCAUCAGAAAGAAAACCUAAUAAGGUGAAAAGCAGAUUUCAUAAUUCCUUGUAAUUCUCUUUGAGGGCUUCACAACAUGGAUUUUCUGUGCAAUUACCUACAGAGAGCAGAAGCGAUUAGAAACGCAGAAAGUUUUCUGGGUGUCAUGUUAAGGCCUGACAUGUGAGGAAGGAGGCUUAGAAGGCUGCACCCUCAGGAAAAAAGAGUUUAGCACUCAUUUACACAGGGCCUGUUAGGUGCCUAGACCAAGCCCCAAAUUGUUGAAAAAUAAUAUCUUAAAUAUACAAACAUCAUCUAUGUCCUUAAGGCUAUUACAAUUUACCUCAAAAGACAAAAACAACAUGAUUCCCAGAUUCCUGUUUUUUAAAUAUAUGGUGGUUUAUUCACACACAGUCAAGAUUCCCUAUGGCUCUGGGAACCUACACUCCAGGAGGAGAUGGGGAGGGAAUGACCAAGUGACUCACAGAGCCCAAGGUGCUGUCCACAGGAAGGUAGUUGUCACCUCAUGUUUAUGGGAUAGUGGGAGAAGGAGCAGAGAUUAAGGCGGGAAUGGGAAGUGACCCCUUGCUCAGGAUCACACAGUUAGCUUGUCAGAGAAAAGCCCAGAAAAGGUCCUGGCCAGGCCUCAGGUGACCCCUGCAGACACAGACUGCACCACUACAGGUUGGCCUAGGGGCAGGAGUUGGGAUCUUGGAGUUGACAGCCAUUUUUCUCAGCUGUAAAAUGGCUCAGAGGAUUUUUGUCAGGGUUGCCACUCUGCUUUGUAAACUAUGAAACACUGUAUAUGCGUGACCCAGAUAUUUAGAAAAGAUGAAAUAAAGCCUCAUUAUUAU